AUGGACGCCAUGUCGUGCCUGCUGCCGCCGCCACCGGCGUCGUUCCUCUCGGCCUCCUGCUCGCUCGGCCCUGCCUACUACACCGACGCCGCCCUCGCGCGCGCGCUGAACUUCUCGUCCAUGCCCGAGUACGAGUACGACUACUCCCCCGCGGUCUCCUCCCCGUCCUCCGCCUCGGCGCCCUCCUCCUCCUCCCUCCUCGCGGACUUCCCGUACAGCGCGGGCGAUGGCAGCAGCUGGUUCGCCUCCACGGCCGCGCCGGCGACGGGUUCACUCGCCUGCGACUCCGUCCUCGUCGCGUCAGACGCGCCGCCGCGUCCGCCGUCCACCCCCGUGGGCGCCGCGGCGAACAAGAGGCGGGCGGGCCUGGGGCCCAACGCGGCGGGCGCGGGGCGCGCCGGGAAGCGGCGCGCGCGGGCGUCGAAGCGCGCGCCCACCACGUACAUCAGCACCGACCCCGCCAACUUCCGGCUCAUGGUGCAGCACGUGAUGGCCGUCCAGGCCGAGCCGGGCGCGCCCGAUGGAAGCGGCGCACUCCUGCCCGCGUCGUUCGACGCGUCUUCCGGCGCGGCGCUGCUGGACUGCCACCCGUUCGACGGCGCGCUGCUGAUGCCGGCCGACGUGGACGCCGCGGAGCUCCAUCGCCACCACCACCAGCAGCAGCAGCCGUGCUACCCGACGCUGGACUCGUGGAGCGUCAUGUACGAGAGCAGCCAGCUGCUCUAG
rnacentral:rRNA from 1 species